rnacentral:rRNA from 1 species
GGGUUGUGAGGUUAAGCGACUAAGCGUACACGGUGGAUGCCCUGGCAGUCAGAGGCGAUGAAGGACGUGCUAAUCUGCGAAAAGCGCCGGUAAGGUGAUAUGAACCGUUAUAACCGGCGAUGUCCGAAUGGGGAAACCCAGUGUGACUCGUCACACUAUCAUUAACUGAAUCCAUAGGUUAAUGAGGCGAACCGGGAGAACUGAAACAUCUAAGUACCCCGAGGAAAAGAAAUCAACCGAGAUUCCCCAAGUAGCGGCGAGCGAACGGGGAAGAGCCCAGAGUCUGAAUCAGCAGGUGUGUUAGUGGAACGGUCCGGAAUGGCCGGCGAUACAGGGUGAAAGCCCCGUACACGAAAGUGCACCUGUUGUGAGCUCGAUGAGUAGGGCGGGACACGUGGUAUCCUGUCUGAAUAUGGGGGGACCAUCCUCCAAGGCUAAAUACUCCUGACUGACCGAUAGUGAACCAGUACCGUGAGGGAAAGGCGAAAAGAACCCCGGCGAGGGGAGUGAAAAAGAACCUGAAACCGUGUACGUACAAGCAGUGGGAGCCUCUUUAAUGGGGUGACUGCGUACCUUUUGUAUAAUGGGUCAGCGACUUAUAUUCUGUAGCAAGGUUAACCGUAUAGGGGAGCCGCAGGGAAACCGAGUCUUAACCGGGCGUCCAGUUGCAGGGUAUAGACCCGAAACCCGGUGAUCUAGCCAUGGGCAGGUUGAAGGUUGGGUAACACUAACUGGAGGACCGAACCGACUAAUGUUGAAAAAUUAGCGGAUGACCUGUGGCUGGGGGUGAAAGGCCAAUCAAACCGGGAGAUAGCUGGUUCUCCCCGAAAGCUAUUUAGGUAGCGCCUCGUGAACUCAUCUUCGGGGGUAGAGCACUGUUUCGGCUAGGGGGCCAUCCCGGCUUACCAACCCGAUGCAAACUACGAAUACCGAAGAAUGUUAUCACGGGAGACACACGGCGGGUGCUAACGUCCGUCGUGAAGAGGGAAACAACCCAGACCGCCAGCUAAGGUCCCAAAGUCAUGGUUAAGUGGGAAACGAUGUGGGAAGGCCCAGACAGCCAGGAUGUUGGCUUAGAAGCAGCCAUCAUUUAAAGAAAGCGUAAUAGCUCACUGGUCGAGUCGGCCUGCGCGGAAGAUGUAACGGGGCUAAACCAUGCACCGAAGCUGCGGCAGCGACACUAAGUGUUGUUGGGUAGGGGAGCGUUCUGUAAGCCGGUGAAGGUGUGCUGUGAGGCAUGCUGGAGGUAUCAGAAGUGCGAAUGCUGACAUAAGUAACGAUAAUGCGGGUGAAAAACCCGCACGCCGGAAGACCAAGGGUUCCUGUCCAACGUUAAUCGGGGCAGGGUGAGUCGACCCCUAAGGCGAGGCCGAAAGGCGUAGUCGAUGGGAAACAGGUUAAUAUUCCUGUACUUGGUGUUACUGCGAAGGGGGGACGGAGAAGGCUGUGUCAUCCGGGCGACGGUUGUCCCGGUUUAAGCGUGAAGGUGGAGUGACCAGGCAAAUCCGGUUGCUCAUUAACACUGAGGCGUGAUGACGAGGCACUACGGUGCUGAAGUGACAGAUGCCCUGCUUCCAGGAAAAGCCUCUAAGCUCCAGGUAACACGAAAUCGUACCCCAAACCGACACAGGUGGUCAGGUAGAGAAUACCAAGGCGCUUGAGAGAACUCGGGUGAAGGAACUAGGCAAAAUGGUGCCGUAACUUCGGGAGAAGGCACGCUGACACGUAGGUGAAGUCCCUCGCGGAUGGAGCUGAAGUCAGUCGAAGAUACCAGCUGGCUGCAACUGUUUAUUAAAAACACAGCACUGUGCAAACACGAAAGUGGACGUAUACGGUGUGACGCCUGCCCGGUGCCGGAAGGUUAAUUGAUGGGGUCAGCGCAAGCGAAGCUCCUGAUCGAAGCCCCGGUAAACGGCGGCCGUAACUAUAACGGUCCUAAGGUAGCGAAAUUCCUUGUCGGGUAAGUUCCGACCUGCACGAAUGGCGUAAUGAUGGCCAGGCUGUCUCCACCCGAGACUCAGUGAAAUUGAACUCGCCGUGAAGAUGCGGUGUACCCGCGGCAAGACGGAAAGACCCCGUGAACCUUUACUAUAGCUUGACACUGAACAUUGAGCCUUGAUGUGUAGGAUAGGUGGGAGGCUUUGAAGUGUGGACGCCAGUCUGCAUGGAGCCAACCUUGAAAUACCACCCUUUAAUGUUUGAUGUUCUAACCUGGCGCCAUAAUCUGGCGUGGGGACAGUGUCUGGUGGGUAGUUUGACUGGGGCGGUCUCCUCCUAAAGUGUAACGGAGGAGCACGAAGGUUGGCUAAUCCUGGUCGGACAUCAGGAGGUUAGUGCAAUGGCAUAAGCCAGCUUGACUGCGAGCGUGACGGCGCGAGCAGGUGCGAAAGCAGGUCAUAGUGAUCCGGUGGUUCUGAAUGGAAGGGCCAUCGCUCAACGGAUAAAAGGUACUCCGGGGAUAACAGGCUGAUACCGCCCAAGAGUUCAUAUCGACGGCGGUGUUUGGCACCUCGAUGUCGGCUCAUCACAUCCUGGGGCUGAAGUAGGUCCCAAGGGUAUGGCUGUUCGCCAUUUAAAGUGGUACGCGAGCUGGGUUUAGAACGUCGUGAGACAGUUCGGUCCCUAUCUGCCGUGGGCGCUGGAGAAUUGAGGGGGGCUGCUCCUAGUACGAGAGGACCGGAGUGGACGCAUCACUGGUGUUCGGGUUGUCAUGCCAAUGGCAUUGCCCGGUAGCUACAUGCGGAAGAGAUAAGUGCUGAAAGCAUCUAAGCACGAAACUUGCCCCGAGAUGAGUUCUCCCUGACCCUUUAAGGGUCCUGAAGGAACGUUGAAGACGACGACGUUGAUAGGCCGGGUGUGUAAGCGCAGCGAUGCGUUGAGCUAACCGGUACUAAUGAACCGUGAGGCUUAACCUUACAACGCCAAAG